rnacentral:rRNA from 1 species
GCCAGCCCGCUCAGAAAACUUAAAGGAAUUGACGGGGGCCCGCACAAGCGGAGGAACAUGUGGUUUAAUUCGAUGAUACGCGAGGAACCUUACCCGGGCUUGAAAUGCAUCUGACCGGCCUUGAAAGAGGCACUCCCUUCGGGGCAGAUGUGUAGGUGCUGCAUGGUUGUCGUCAGCUCGUGCCGUGAGGUGUCGGCUUAAGUGCCAUAACGAGCGCAACCCUCAUCAUUAGUUACCAUCAGGUAAGGCUGGGGACUCUAAUGAGACUGCCAUCGUAAGAUGUGAGGAAGGUGGGGAUGACGUCAAAUCAGCACGGCCCUUACGUCCGGGGCGACACACGUGUUACAAUGGGUGGUACAAAGGGCAGCUACCUGGCGACAGGAUGCUAAUCUCGAAAACCGCUCUCAGUUCGGAUCGGAGUCUGCAACUCGACUCCGUGAAGCUGGAUUCGCUAGUAAUCGCGCAUCAGCCACGGCGCGGUGAAUACGUUCCCGGGCCUU